GGGUGACGUGCGCUCCACCACAACGCGACGGGCUCGCGAAUACAAGCCCUAUUCUUACCCAACGAACCGUGUCGAAAACUUGGGUUGUCUGCGAGAAAAAACGAUUGACUCACGGAUGUUUUGUCAAGAAAGAUUUUUGAUGGAUUAAAAUCAACUUCAGGACGUCAUUCGAAAAGUAAUCACAGUUCGAUCUGGGAUAUCCACGCCGUUUUUUCACGUUUUCGAGCUCUUUCAUCAUUCGCCAGCCGCUUAUUCACAUUCGGUCAGCCACCCUGGCCUGAGCAAUCUCAUCGAGUUAACGCUAGCUGCUUGCUCUGGAUGUGAUAAUUGUGGAAUAUAUAUACACUUCUCGAAGUUAGAACUAAUAUCAUUACUAUGAUGAAAUCUGAUUGCUGAUAUUCAUACUUGGACAAUAUGGGGUGCACGGAAUCUAUCAUUUCGGAGAUUGUUGCAAAAUCGAAUGUUAACGCGCAGAAAGGCAACAUAAACCAAGCAAAAGUUCAACCGGCUCCACUUCUUGGUCGUGAUGAAGCAAGAGAUAGAAGACGGAAAGCUCUUAUGGAGAGACAUGCUAAGAAACAGGCCAUGGCACAGACAAUAUCUGACAAUGCGAUGGCAGAGAAAGAGCGUUUAUCAAAUAGUACCUGGAUGUCAUGGAGGUCAGGGGUCAAUAGUGACGUCAUCUCACCCGCUGUCUCCAUCUCUGUCCGAGGAUCAGAUGGUAAGUAACGCGGUUUUUCUGAUAUGUUUGUGUUUCUCCUUCAAACAAAUGUUAUUUGGUACUUUUAUUUGUUGAAAUGUAUUUAUUUCAACUGUUUUUAAAAUUCUCACCCUCCUCACAUUCUUGAUUCCUAUGUGGGAUUAUGUUCUUGGUAAACACUUAUUUUUUUAUCCUUGGAUAUUCGACGAAUUGUAAUAGCAUGGUCCAUGACUACACCCUCUUUAUUGAACAUAUUAUUCAUAAAAGGAAAACGUGUUUUUUUUUCAAUGGUGUGUCAUUUAAUUGCUACUCAUGCAAGGUGCCUAUACUUAUGCUAUCCUGAACCGAAUGUCUUCUAAUUUAUUUUCUUAUCCGCCACCAAAGGUUACACUUAAAAGAAAUAUAAGAAUAUGUGCAUGAACAUGAAGAUAUCAUUCCCUAUUCAUCCCAAACAUGAUACUCUUCUCAUCAUUACGUACUGACCUGUCUGGGGAAGGCCGAUUUAAAUGAUGUGGUAGUAUAGUGGAAACAAUAUCAAUGCUAGCAUGAAUAUGGUGACGAACAGUUUCAUUACUUGAUUAUAAUACCAUUAAAACCACCCAAUUCUACUGUAGGGCUCACGGGUGAGUGAUAAAUUAAACCAUGAACAAGUUGCCGAGCGUGAGUAGUAGCCAUGCACACUCAAUCAUAUCGGUUUUAUGGAAAUAAAGGAAAUAUGGUCAUCUCAUUGUAAUAAAAGUAUGUGGCGCCAUAUGUAAUAAUUAACUCCUAUAUUGCCUAACAUAAUUUUUGCUCGUGGUUCCAAUAUGACCAUAUUUGAUGAUACUUGCACUGCUUUGACUCUUCAUGUACAAAUGUGUUUAUUUUAAAGAUUCUCAAAAAAUAACGGUAGGCCCUAUCAAAUAUUCAUGCUGUAAUGCAACAGCAUUUCUAGUUUUGACCGGAGUUUUUAUUAAGUUUGAAUCUCAUGACCAGUAAGGCUCACAUAAUGUAAUUGGUUAAUUAAAGCCAUACCAAUGUCUUGUAAAAUGUAAAUAAGUACACUCAGUAUACAGGUUCUAUGUCAAUAUCAAUUAAGGAAAGAUGGUCAUCCAACUGCAAUUAACAGUCUGCGGUCUAAUAGAUGGUUAAUAUUAACUCCUAUAUAGCCGAGUAUUUGCUGUUGCUGUUGUUGUUGCUGUUGUUGUGAUAGGCCUAUCUUUCAAUAUCUGUACAAAAUGUUGGUAUCCAGAGAUUGUAAAAAAUAACAUUACUAAAUAUCCCCACUUUAACACAAAAACAUUACUUGAUUUAUAUUGAAUCCCCGAAUCCCAUUGCUACUCUAGGGCUCAUAGAUGAGUAAUAAAUUAGACAAUAACCGAAGUUUGCUGUUUUGUAGAUAGUGUAAAUAGCAACCAAUCGCACAUAAUAGUUGAUUGAAUUAAGAUGGUGAUCUCAUUGUAAUUAACAGUCUACGGUGCAGCAAAUGAUCAUUAACUCUUUGAUACCAAAUGGUUUUGUUUGUUGCGAAAAUCGAAAAAAAAAAUAACAACUGCACAUUGCACUUCUUAUAGAAAUUACACUCUCUACAAACGCGUCGCAUCCAAAAGCUGUAUAGAUAUGUCAUGGACCCAAGUUUUCUUAAAUAACUGAUUUCAUGCUUGUGAACCAGAAAGUAUAGCUUCACUUUUACCAUACGUUUUUGUGUAACAUUUAAUUGUCAGGGCCAGUUGCGGUUGAAUGCAACUCUUUCUGCAACGGGCCAUUAUCUCACAAAUUGUCGGGUAUUUAUUUCAGUUCUGUUUACUGUGAUUUAUUCUCACACUCAUGUGCAUCUUCCCUGUAGUUGCAGUUGUCAAUCAAAAAUGCAGGGAAUAAUAAAAAAAAUCAUCUUUAAAACUAAAUUUCAACAUUAUAUAUGAUUUGUAAUAUAUAUUGAUUAAUAUUAACAUAAGAAUAAAUAACCAUUUCAUUUUCAAAGUCAGUUCCGUGAAGUUUAAAUGCAACAAAUCAUUGAAUAAAUUGUUUGACCCUCACCCAUAUCACAAUAUAAAUAUGUUAGAAAUAGGGAAAAUUAUAUACUUGCUGAAUUGUAGACAGU